CUUCCUAGGUUUCUUCUCCAUGUCUUCACAGGGUAUGACAACCCCUAGUCACAUUUUUAGGAGCGAAAAUCCUAAUUCUUUUUCAUGCAUUCAUUAGGCAUAACUUCCUUUGGUCAUAUUAUUAAGAAUAGGGUUCUUAUUUUAUCGCACUCCUAGCCUAAAUUUCUAUCCAUUCGUUUAUUUAUUUUUAAACUAGAUUAUAGUUUUUCUAAUAACUCACAAAAUUUUCCUAGUAUAAACUGGGGCAAAAAAUUUUGUUUGUUUGUUUCGUCUUCUUUGAUGGCUCGCAGGUUUUCCGCAAAGCACAGGU
rnacentral:lncRNA from 1 species